rnacentral:rRNA from 1 species
UACGGAGGGUGCGAGCGUUGUCCGGAAUCAUUGGGCGUAAAGGGCGCGUAGGCGGCCGUCCCAAGCGUGCGGUGAAAGUCGGGGGCUCAACCCCUGAUCGGCCGUGCGAACUGGGGGGCUGGAGCACUGUAGAGGCAGGCGGAAUUCCGGGUGUAGCGGUGGAAUGCGUAGAGAUCCGGAAGAACACCAGUGGCGAAGGCGACUUUCUGGUCUGUAACUGACACUGAGGCGCGAAAGCGUGGGGAGCAAACAGG